rnacentral:rRNA from 1 species
UACGUAGGGGGCAAGCGUUGUCCGGAUUUAUUGGGCGUAAAGAGCGUGUAGGCGGCCAGACAGGUCCGUUGUGAAAACUAGAGGCUUAACCUCUAGACGUCGAUGGAAACCGUUUGGCUAGAGUCCGGAAGAGGAGAAUGGAAUUCCUGGUGUAGCGGUGAAAUGCGUAGAUAUCGGAAGGAACAUCAGUGGCGAAAGCGGCUUCCUGGUCCAGCACCGACGUUCAGGCACGAAAGCGUGGGGAGCAAACAGG